rnacentral:rRNA from 1 species
ACGGAAGGCAGCAGUGGGGAAUAUUGGGCAAUGGGGGAAACCCUGACCCAGCAACGCCGCGUGAAGGAAGAAGGCCUUCGGGUUGUAAACUUCUUUUACCAGGGACGAACAAAUGACGGUACCUGGAGAAAAAGCAACGGCUAACUACGUGCCAGCAGCCGCGGUAAUACGUAGGGGGCAAGCGUUAUCCGGAUUUACUGGGUGUAAAGGGAGCGUAGACGGAAGGCCAAGCCUGAUGUGAAAACCCAGGGCUCAACCCUGGGACUGCAUUGGAAACUGGUCAUCUAGAGUGCAGGAGGGGUAAGCGGAAUUCCUAGUGUAGCGGUGAAAUGCGUAGAUAUUAGGAGGAACACCAGUGGCGAAGGCGGCUUACUGGACUGUAACUGACGUUGAGGCUCGAAAGCGUGGGGAGCAAACAGGAUUAGAUACCCUGGUA